UUAUUACCUCAAAAUUAUAAUUGACAUUAAGCAAAGGGCCAGAUAUGCAUGGGUUCCGAGCUUGAAGAUGGCCCCCGGCCCAGAGUUUGGGACUCCUGAUUUUAAUAUCUGCUUUGCAUUUGUUGUAAAUUGAAGAGAACAACCGUUACCGUUCUGGAAAUCCAAACUGUUACUGUACCUGAUACUGUUCUGGACAAAGUUAAAGUUAGUGACCUGCUGAGGAAAGACAUUUACCCAGAAUUCCAUUACAUUUCCAUUGGCAUCUAUAAUUCUAUUGUUUGUUUUUUUUCGUUUCGUAUAUUUAAAAAACCCAUCAUUGAAAAUACCUGCAGCAUGAUGCUAUUGUUUGAAAAGUAAUAAAAGUGUGUACAUGUGUGCAGUGACACACUCCGUCCUGAAUGUGUUUUAAAUUAUCUCUGUUGACAUUCGGGUUCAGCCCGGUUGUUUUUCGGAGCUGGAUGUUAAAUUGGCCGGCAGAUGAAAGGCAGCGUCUGAAGCCAACAGGUUUCCAGCACACUCCGCUCCACGCCAAGAGACAUAAAACACCACAGUAAUCCAAGAUGAAGGGAUUUGGGGAUUAUCACUGCAUUUUCUGAAAGUUGCGUGAUGCUGGCAGAACUUUUUUUUUUUUUUUUUUUUUUACUAGUAGAGCAGAAGCCAGGACUUCACCGCGGUGACCAUAAAGGGGAAAAAACAACAAGGCUGGAAUCCUCCCAUCUCUGCAGAUGAGCCGCAGACAGUGGAAUGCACCAGGGGAGGUCAAGGGGGGGGCGGAGGGGCAGGUGUAGUAAAACGUGUUUUCUUUAAUAACAGAAAUAUCUGGACAACGGAAGAAAAUAUACAUGGAAAUAAUAAAUAACCUUGACACUAGUAAAAUUACAGAGGAAACACAUGAGAUGCAUCGCACUUCUCAACAAUAGGCAGCCAGACAUUUAGAUUCACGUGAUAUACACAGAUUUACACACCUGAGGCGCACACACACACACACACACACACACACACACACAUAAGAGAAGACUGCGUUUCAUGCCACAUUUACAUUGGUUUACAACAUCAAUACAAUGACAGUAUCGCACACCACCGCCCACCAAUCAGCAGAGAGGAAAGGGACACAGUGGACUGAAGGAUCCACAGACAAAGGCGUGCAACGACAGUGUUUCACCACUAGGAUUAAAAGUAGAAGAGUUUGUUUUUUUCACUUGCAGUAUCAGCUGAAGUUAUGUCAAAGUUUCAAAGGCUGCAUUUAUUUCACAUUCACCGACGGAGCCUGGGACUUCAACAUGUACUCGCACCAAAAAACAAAUACUACACUUCUCUGUGGUCCUGCCCCCCCCCCCCCCCACCUGCCUGGUCCCCCCACAGACACAGGGUUGAGUGAUUUGUGAAACCAGCAGCGACUGGGUAAAAAAAAAACAUCAGUGAAGCAGUGUCUGUGACAUCUGUCAAUCAAACCAACAACAUCACCAGACGACGUGUGGUUGUUUGAAAUACUGCAAUACCUAAGCCUGACCACACGGUUUAAACCAGCGGUUCCCACACAUUUUCCUGCAGCGCCUCCUACUGUACAACACAACACAAUCAGGCCAAGCCAACUUCAGGGGACUGUAGUUAAUAGUAGUAAAUGAUCAGGUCAUACUACUGCAAAUACUGAAUACUACUGUGUUUGAAUUGGUCGUUGCCUCCUUGUUGAGGUUUGUAGUAUAACUACAGUAUUUAAAACUUCAAAUAUUGCACUACUGCAGUUAUUAAAAUGGUAAAAAUGUGUACUACAUCGUACAGUCACAUUUGAAAAAAUUAAAAACAAACAAAAAAACUACUUUGAAGCAACAACUAAAUUAGUGAUCAUCAACUGGCGGCUCGCGGGCCACAUACAGCCCACUGAAACAUCCAGUACGGCCCAGGACUGGGUUCCAAAAUUUUUAAUAAAACAUUUAAUAAUAAUUUUUGACUUUUAUUUCAUUUUAUUUGAGUGUCCGACCCCACCCCCCCAGGGUUGGUGACCCCUGACCUACUGUAGACCAUCAUCCCUUGCUGAAGUGACGUAACAGUUCAUACACACAGCAGACAUUUAUAACUGUUGAACUGUUGACUAUAACGGCUCUGUGAUGGCUGAGGACUGUGGUGAUGUCACACACACUCUGCCCACUGGUGUUUUUUUUUUUUUUUUCCCUCUACGGUCCAUCAAUCACACAGCGAUCUUCCGGCCAGGGAAACAAUUUUCUUCUCUAAUUUCUCCAGCGCUCCUCGUUUCACAAACUCGUGGUUCACUUCCACUCGUCUGCACUCGGCCUCUGCUCAACUUGAGGUAGUGACUUAAGUUGUUUUUGCAGCUCAGUUCACUGGGGGUCACUGCGGCCUGGCUGGGGGGUGGGGGGUUAAAUCAUGUGACCUCUGAUCAGAGCAUCACCCUCACAGAUGAGUACCACUGAGCAGAGUCCAAACUGCAUUUCUGAAACUAAAGUGCAGAUAAACAGUGAACAGUGACCCCUAGAGUAAAUCCUCACCAUUUUUUAAAACCAGAUGCUAGUACAGUACACGCCUCCGUGUGGGGGAGGCCAGGCCUGAGGUCACAGACACAGUGACUGAUGUCAGUCCAUGAUGUUUUCCUUUUUUUCUUUUUCAUUAUGGCUUAUCACACUGCAGUAAAGGUGGCAGGCAACUUCACGACACGGACAGAAAAGUAUGGUCUUAAACAUCACCGGGUCUCACCACAACAACAACAACAACAACAGAAAUACAAAUAAUAAUAAUUUGGUCCAUUUUUGAUGAGGUGCCAAAGGCACUUACCAAAGUGCUCAGUGAGCAGACACUGCAUCAGCCCAGAGAUGAAGGGAGUUUAGUGCAGAUAAGAGUUGGACUUUCCCAAAAACAUUUCCCCAACAGGAACUGAACUCUGAAUUUCCACUGGUUUCAUUGGUUUAAUUAAAGUUGCUGCCAGUGACUUUACAAAAUCACAUUGGUCUGACUGACCCAAAAAAAGGUCUUUUAUUUUAUCAGGUUUGAUUGACGAUAAUUCUGAUCGACUCACUCUGUCGGACCUGGAUCAGUACUAAUUGUUGUUGAUGCAAAUUUUGGCCAAAAGGUGACAUCACUGAACGCAGCUUUAGAUUAAAGGGACUGGUAAUAUGCAGUAUUCCUGUCCUUCUGCUUUAGCAUGAGCUGUUUUAGCCUCCGUUAGCAUUCUAUGCUAAGCUGUUUAUUAGGAUAACACAAUACAUUUUGUCUAAUUUAGUGAGCCUGGAUAUCCUUAAUGUUACAUGCUCCUAUGUCAGUCCAUGUCCUGUACCUUAGAUACAAGUGGAGCGUCAGCCUAGCCUAGCCUAGCUAAGGUAACCACCAGCGGUCAAGUCGGUGUAUUGAGGGAAUAGAGUGUUGUGAUGAUCUUCGUUUGAAUUAAUUGAGUAUUCCUGGGUAUUUAGUUCAGACGACGGACACUGAGCCUUUUCUUUUAGUGCAACGAACAAACGACGGCGAAGCAGAGCUUUUCACGAGAGAACGUUUUUUACGUAGUAUCAAGCCCAUAAAGACGGUAAUACUUCCUGUUAUUACCAGAAUUAUUGCAAAUAUGGUCAGUUUUUUUUUUAAAGUUUGAUCAUUGCUUCAUGAAAGAUAAAUAAACAACUGUACACAAAGACACACGCUACAAUAAUUACUGUACAGCUUCAUGCAUUAAUAUCAGAUUUAUCCUGACAAUGGACUUCACUGAUCAUUAUCAUUAACUGUGUUAUUAUUAUUAUUAUUAUUGUAAUUAUUAUCAUUAUUAAUCAUCAGGUUUCCUUACAAUAAUGACCUCUCAGUGCUGUUCAUUCAUAUUUGUAGUAUCUAUUAGUAGCCACAGCAAUUACAUUAUUCACUGUGAUUGUUUGUAAAGUAACAUUUACAGUUUUUAUCACUAAUCUGUCUCUUUAAACUGAUUUGAUUUCACAACAUUAAGACGUUAUUUGUGGUACACUAUGGUAUUUGGUGUUAACGAACUGAAACUGGACCACAGAAAAUCUAUUAAAAAAAAAUCAAAUCACCAGAAUAUCCGUCAAUUACAACCACUUUGACACAUGUCAAUCAGCUCGUCAAAAUAAAAGUCCUACAGUUUGGCAGAUUGCCAUAGAGAAUUCUUUCCUCAUGGACAACUUGGGUGUUGUUGUAUUGCCGUGAGCUUCACUUGAAUGUUUUCUUUUGUCUCUUUUAGGCCCGUCUUGGACACCUGUGAAAAGGUCGUUGACCUCUGUCUGAAGCUACACCGAGCUGAUCUGUUACUGUGUUCCCUUUAAAACCACGAUACGAUUUUACACUUAGAAUGAUUCUUAAUAUGAAUCGAACACAAAAGAAUUUAAA